GAGGAGCCUAGCUCUUUGGAGAUUGGUGAGGUCUUUGAUAUGUUUUGUCCAGUUUUGGGCAUCAUACUUCAGGAAAGAUCAACUUGAAGACUUUAGAUGGGAAUUACUGAAAUGCUGUGAAAUGCAACACACCAGGAAGGUCCAAGACAGGUCACAACAGAUUAAACAUUGGGAAAGGCAAGUGGAGAAUCACUGACAGAAGUUGUAGCCUCACCUAAUGACUUGCUAAAGAAGUUUCUGCAGUGCUCUGCCUUAGCUAUGAGGAGAAACCUAGAAGAGCUCCUUUGCUUCCAGCAUCACUCAGCACAUGAUGAGAAAUAUCCUGGCUCUGUCUUACUAGCUUUAUUUAUGCUGAUUUUGUAUAGUUAAUUAAAGGGCUACAGCAAACUUGUGUCAUGGGAAACAGGUCAGUGUCUUUUCACCACUACCUCAUACUCAGACAAUCAAAGAAAACCCAGAACAAGAGAAAUACAGUACCAUAUGUUUUCUGUUCAUGUUUUCCUGACUAAGGAAACCAAAUGGCAGGUAGUGGUUUUGGACAUAAUGGCCACUGGUAGUCUGUAUGGGAAGAAGAUGGCAGACUUUACUCAGCUAUGUCAAAGUAGUGUGUAAGUAAUGUGACAGUAUUUGCUGCACUAGUAACAUUUCACUAUGGGAUCAGGAAGGGACCUGGAUAUUCCUCCCAGCAUUAAAUGCUUUGCUACCUGGAUUCUCUUAGCCACACCACAGAGAAAAGAAAGCGGGUUUGUGAUUUUUCUAUUAAUGAUGGGAGAGAACUGAGUUGCUGUGAUUAUUUAGGUGUACACUGUGGUUAAUUCACAUCUCAGGAAUGUUCUCUGGUUACUAUUUUCAUGCACAUUCUUUCACUAAUAAAACAUUCGAGUACGCCUGUACAUCCACGUUUCGAGGGGGAGUCCGUGAAAUGCCGCCAUUCCCUGCUCUGGUGGCGCCACCUGGCGGCCGGCACGAGCCAUGCAACCGAGCUCGUGCCCGGCGCGACACGCGCUCUGCCUGGGCUGCUGCUCGUUCCCAAGGCAUCGCAACAACCAAAACGAGACAAGCGCUUCUGAGGAAUGCACAGCCUACGGCUCUUUCGUAUAACGGCUUU